rnacentral:rRNA from 1 species
CCUACGGGAGGCAGCAGUGGGGAAUAUUGGGCAAUGGGCGCAAGCCUGACCCAGCAACGCCGCGUGAAGGAUGAAGGCUUUCGGGUUGUAAACUUCUUUUUAGGGGGAAGAGCAGAAGACGGUACCCCUUGAAUAAGCCACGGCUAACUACGUGCCAGCAGCCGCGGUAAUACGUAGGUGGCAAGCGUUGUCCGGAUUUACUGGGUGUAAAGGGCGUGCAGCCGGGGAGACAAGUCAGAUGUGAAAUCCACGGGCUCAACCCGUGAACUGCAUUUGAAACGGUUUCCCUUGAGUGUCGGAGAGGUAAUCGGAAUUCCUGGUGUAGCGGUGAAAUGCGUAGAUAUUAGGAAGAACACCAGUGGCGAAGGCGGAUUACUGGACGAUAACUGACGGUGAGGCGCGAAAGCGUGGGGAGCAAACAGGAUUAGAUACCCUUGUAGUC